AUUGAACGCUGGCGGCAGGCCUAACACAUGCAAGUCGAGCGGAUGAGGGAAGCUUGCUUCCCGAUUUAGCGGCGGACGGGUGAGUAAUGCCUAGGAAUCUGCCUAUUAGUGGGGGAUAACGUUCCGAAAGGAACGCUAAUACCGCAUACGUCCUACGGGAGAAAGUGGGGGAUCUUCGGACCUCACGCUAAUAGAUGAGCCUAGGUCGGAUUAGCUAGUUGGUGAGGUAACGGCUCACCAAGGCGACGAUCCGUAGCUGGUCUGAGAGGAUGAUCAGCCACACUGGAACUGAGACACGGUCCAGACUCCUACGGGAGGCAGCAGUGGGGAAUAUUGGACAAUGGGCGAAAGCCUGAUCCAGCCAUGCCGCGUGUGUGAAGAAGGUCUUCGGAUUGUAAAGCACUUUAAGUUGGGAGGAAGGGCAGUAAGUUAAUACCUUGCUGUUUUGACGUUACCGACAGAAUAAGCACCGGCUAACUUCGUGCCAGCCGCCGCCGUAAAAC
rnacentral:rRNA from 1 species